GUAGGGGGCAAGCGUUAUCCGGAUUUACUGGGUGUAAAGGGAGCGUAGACGGCGCAGCAAGUCUGAUGUGAAAGGCAGGGGCUUAACCCCUGGACUGCAUUGGAAACUGCUGUGCUUGAGUGCCGGAGGGGUAAGCGGAAUUCCUAGUGUAGCGGUGAAAUGCGUAGAUAUUAGGAGGAACACCAGUGGCGAAGGCGGCUUACUGGACAGUAACUGACGUUGAGGCUCGAAAGCGUGGGGAGCAAACAGGAUUAGAUACCCUGGUAGUCCACGCCCUAAACGAUGACUACUAGGUGUCGGGUGGCAAAGCCAUUCGGUGCCGCAGCAAACGCAAUAAGUAGUCCACCUGGGGAGU
rnacentral:rRNA from 1 species